rnacentral:tmRNA from 1 species
GGGGAUGCAUUGCAUCGACGAGAAAUGCACAUUAAAAAACGCAAGCCGACAACGAUUGAAAGUCGUAAAACUCGAUCAAAAUAUAAAUGCUGUUAAUACCAGCAGAAAGGCUCUUCUCAUAGCAGAAGCGAAGAAAAUUCGCCAAAUGCUCGGAGACAUAGCCUUUGGACAGUCAGCUCUACCAGCAUACGCUGUUUAAGCUUAAGUCUUGUUUAUAAAGUCUUUUCUCAACGGGACUUUAUAAGCACAAACACAGUUGAGAAAUAGUAAGGAAAGUUGGUUUCUGUCCUUAUCGUAUUUAUCAACCUUGACGCUAUUAAUUCUUGUUGAUUAGAAAAAAAUAGCGCGACAUUAAAUAAUCAACUAAGCUUGUAGACGUUUUUAAUAUAAUUUCUUGGACUCGAGCUCACUGCUCGACAUCUCCACAA